GAUGAACGCUGGCGGCGUGCCUAAUACAUGCAAGUCGAACGGAAAGACGAUGAGCUUGCUCCGCUGACGUUAGCGGCGGGCGGGUGAGUCACGCGUGGAUCCCCUACUUAUCUUACGGGGAGCACUACGAAACACCGGAUCUAAUAGCGGAGGAUAUCUUGAACCGCGUGGUGCAAUGGUGAGAGACGGCUUUGGUGGCUGUUAUAGCUGCUUCCGCGCCGGCUGAGCUAGUUGGGAAGGUAACGGCUUACCAAGGCUACGAGGCGUAGCCGAACGGAGAGGGUGAUAGGCCACACGGGAACUGGGACACGGACCAGACGACGGAGGGAGGCAGCAGUAGGGAAUCUGCGGCAAUGGGCGGAAGCCUGACGGAGCAAAGCCGCGUGAGUGAUGAAGGUCUUCGGAUCGUAAAGCCCUGUUGCUGGGGAAGAACAAAUGUGUCAUGAAACGUAGACGUAGUGACGGUACCUAAUGAGUAAGCCCCGGCUAACUACGUG
rnacentral:rRNA from 1 species